rnacentral:rRNA from 1 species
GUGGGGAAUAUUGCACAAUGGGGGAAACCCUGAUGCAGCGACGCCGCGUGAGUGAAGAAGUAUCUCGGUAUGUAAAGCUCUAUCAGCAGGAAAGAUAAUGACGGUACCUGACUAAGAAGCCCCGGCUAACUACGUGCCAGCAGCCGCGGUAAUACGUAGGGGGCAAGCGUUAUCCGGAUUUACUGGGUGUAAAGGGAGCGUAGACGGCUAAUCAAGUCAGAAGUGAAAACCCAGGGCUCAACCUUGGGACUGCUUUUGAAACUGAGUAGCUAGAGUGCAGGAGAGGUAAGCGGAAUUCCUAGUGUAGCGGUGAAAUGCGUAGAUAUUAGGAGGAACACCAGUGGCGAAGGCGGCUUACUGGACUGUAACUGACGUUGAGGCUCGAAAGCGUGGGGAGCAAACAGGA